rnacentral:tRNA from 1 species
GGUUGCAUGGUGUAGUGGUUUAAGCAUUGGACUAUGACUCUGGAGGCCAGGGUUUGAAUCCCUGCUCAGCCA